GGGCGAUUAGCUCAGUGGGAGAGCGCUUCCUUCACACGGAAGAGGUCGUAGGUUCAAUCCCUACAUCGCCUACCA
rnacentral:tRNA from 4 species